CCUUGUACCCACCCCACCUCAGCCAGUGGGUGCCGGCCUACCGCUACCUGCUUGGGUGGAUUUCAUGAGUGGGAACGUUCCGACACAUCUCUCUAGUGCACCGUGCUACUUGUGCUACGACGUUUUCAUGGAUAGUUUUCUCUUUGUGCUAUGCCGUGUGCAUUGAUACAGUCUAAGAAAGGUUCCAUGGGAAGGUGUAUAUAUCGAGGAGUUACCCUGGAACUGACAUUGUUCUUUUUGACCUGGAUUAAACGGAUUCCAUAGAAGACAGGAUACUUGAAUGUAUCAAGCUUGUGGAUAACCUGCACCCAGCUUGUGGAUAGCCUGCACACAGCUUGUGGAUACCCUGCACCCAACGACUGGAUAGAAUUAACGAGUUUGUGGAUGAUUGCUGGAUAGAAAAACAGAUUGAUAGUAGCUGAGCACAGCUCGUACCUUCCAGAGUGUGGACCACGGGAGUUGGGCCUAGAAAGGAGCCAUUGUACUCAACAUGUGUGGGUGUGACCUUCAUGUUGGAUUACUAUAUCAAUGCUGGGAAACUUACUAACAAAUG